CACGGUGGCCAUCGUCAUGGCGAUGGGAUCGAUGAGACUGUUCUGCGGCUGCAUCCGGACCUCACCUGAGACCUGCCUCUGCACACAGAAUCACCAGCAGACACCGACCUGCAGGAGACGGAAGUAUCCCGGCGUCAGUCUUCCCAGUCUGAUGAUCAUUUCUGCUGCUGGAGCUUCUCAGACGAGCCAACGACCUUCCUGAAAAAACAACAACACUCCUCUAGAAGUUUCCAAGAUUUCAGCUCUGAAAUUACUGAUCUAUUUGUGGUUUGAAGUCAACAGGCGUCGACCCAGCAGGGAUCCAAAAGCAGGAGCAGGUUCACCUUCAUCGACGGGCGGCAGCAGCUCAGCGUCCGCAGACCGACAGCAUGUGAAGCCUGAACAAACAGCGGCAGCCUGUCGCACUGAAGAGGCUCCUGUGUGUCCCCCGUCUCUUUUGUACAGUGUGAACAUCCCAGUCCUGUGUGACGGGCUCAACGGGCUCAACUCACACACACACUCAUACACACACACACUCAUUCACAUACACACACACUCAUUCACAAUGGUGCAUGAAAAGCCUCGGCCUGCCUGUCAGAGAUGAUUUGGUCAUCCAGCCAGCAAAAUGGGUGAGAGCAGAGCAGAGCAGAGCAGAGAGAGCAGAAGAAGAAGAAGUGGCUCCGUGCAGCAUGUUGCACGCUUGAAAGAACAAGUGUGUUAAUGCGCUGCAGUGACUUAUGUAACCCAAAAACACUGAAGAGAAAGUACUUUAUAAAAACUGUCCUGAAUGGAGCCUUUGAGAGAUGCAGCUGACAAAUACUGUACAACAAGCUUUCAUAAGAACCUUCAUCCUUUACUGGAAACAAUUAGACUUUUUCAUAUUUAAAGUAAUUUAGCAUAGUUGUUAUUCUGA